GCGCCGGUGGUGUAAUGGCGUACGCCCGGUUAGAGGGAGGUGCGGGUUCGAGUCCCGCCUGACGCU
rnacentral:tRNA from 1 species